ACGCAGUGCCCAAUGCAAGGAGGCAUCAUUCAGUGAAUAUCAGUUCUGGCCCCUCCCCAGCAAACACACACCCCAAAUCCAUUUCCCUGUCCUCCCCAGGCAGCAGCAUGUUCCCAGCCAGCAGAUGGAAAACACCGACUACGGAGAAAUCCAGUAUGCCAGCAUUGUCCACUUUCAAAGAGACAAGAAAAAUGGGAAAUCAUGAGAUACAUUUUCUAGCCACAGAUCACACUCUCCUCUCUGACUUCUGCAAACACCUCCCCUUGAUGUGCAGAACUGCAGCCCCUUGUUGCUGCUGCCAAAAUUGCGUGGUUCCUUCUCAGAAGCUCCAGAAGUGGUUCUAUUUAAGGAGCUGGAAGAACAUUUCUGAAUAUUUUAAAGAAAGCGGAAGGAGAAAAUCUCGCCAACAAUUCUGAAGAGGAAAGAGGCAAUCUAGCAAGCAAGUGCUGCCCCACAUCUGCUCUUAUUUUUGCAAACUGUCUCCUGCCUGCUUCUCCAGUGUGCAUGGCUCCUUCUGGUGCACCUGAAGUCUCCUCGUGCAGGGCUUGCAGGCUGUAGCUGCAAUCAGUGGGCUUUCCUUUCCCCUCCAGCCCCCUGUGAAGCAGAUGACCAACAGCAGAGCUCUACAGGCUGCAGUGUGGCAAGGGCACUGGGCCUGUGUUGCAGCCACUGUGUUUCCUUGCAGAGGGCUGCUGGGGUGUAAUGUGGGGCUCUUUGUGUUUAUGGGGUUUCCUCUCAUGUUACGUCUAGCAAAAUAAGAUUUAUGACUUGCUUAUGUACAUAACGCCUACAAUAUCAAUAAAAUAUCAGAGAGACACCAAAUUGGAACAGAAAGAUAUGUCAUGCAAAUACACAAACUGCACUUCGUUACAUCAUCAAUCUCACCACGGUUUUGAAUCAAAGAAAUCAUCAGGUGAUGAGCUGUGGUUAUGCAUUACUGCUGUGGCUUCAGGUGGAAGAAGCUCUGAAGAUGCCAGGCUGGCUGUGUUUUGGUACCCACCGUGAGCCUCAAGCACAAGGAUUCUGUCACAGCUCCUGUGCACAGAAUGUCACUCUCAGGGUGCAUUCAGAGAGAAGUACAUCGGAUUCAACCGGGAAAACUAAGGAAAUCUUCUGUGCCUCUGUGUCACAGACUGGCUUUGUUCUGUCACCACGUCAUUGUCUGAUUAAACAGCGGAACAGAAGUGAAAAUGAAAGCAAACCCAGCAGUGGGCUGCACACCUCCCAGGGGUCCCAUUCUUUGGGAACACUUUGAAAGCUGUGUGUUUGUUUGUAAAAGGCCCCAUAUAGUUUUCAGGUUUCCUCAUCUCUUGGACAAUCUCAUGGCAGUUGCACGAUUUCUAUGCGGAUCUCCAAUUCCUCAAAAUGACAUUGAAAUUUGUCCACACAUGGCCAGAGAAGCCCUGUAUAUUCACAGAUGUGUGCAUCAGGGCUUAUCACACUCAAGCCCUCCUGUGUCUAAUGAGGAAAAAUAAGUAACCUCUGUGACCUGAGCUGAGGUAGGUGAGUGAAGAAGCUAUAUUGCACGAAUGUAUCUCGGAUAGAUGGAAUGUUUCCACUGCGUGAUGCAUAAGUUGAAAAGCCAAUGUACACAAAGGUAAAGAAGUAGGCAGAUGUUUAAAAAAAUCUUUGCUACUGUCUGUGAAAUAAAUUGCUUCUUGUUUCCUAAUGCAUACCCAACCACUGGAUCAUUGCUCAGAGAUCAUACAAGAAGGUAUUGGAGACGAAACCAUGAAAGGUGCCCGGAGGUCCCACAAUUUGGGGCAGGUGUGACUCUGAUAUAUAUGUAUAUGAUACUCCUCCCCCCUGGCAGGACCGUUAUUAUAACCAACCAUCUCCAUCCCAUGUCACCGUGCUGUUCACGGGCACCAUCAUCUCCAGCAGCAUCUUUGCACUGAGCAAGUGACUCACAUCCGUUUAUGUAAAGUCUGUGUUGCAAUUUUAUGUUCUACUGAUUGAUCAAAAAUUGACACAAGCUGCAGAGUCCAUCCAGGAGACUGAAAAGACUCAGAAACCGAGAAUUCUAGGCACUGUGUGAAACUGUAUGUCUUGCAGGUUAGGUAGGCAGGUUCACUAAAUAAGAGUACUAAGAAAGAGGGAUACAAAAAUAGCACAGGCUGAUUCUGAGCGUGCAGGAGGUUCGUCGCUCACCACAGAGUGAGUUCUCAGCACAUGGCAACGUUCUGUGGGUCUACAGAUUGUGUCUGACCCUCUGUUGAUCAUCUCCACGGGCUGAUGCAGGGCCAGAGCUCCCAGUGGCUGAGUUUCCAACAGAGGUGUGGGGAGAGGCACAGAUUCAUUUUCCUGCACAGACUGCAAAUGAAGGGAUAACUGCUUGUAGUGACAGCAACUGUAAUACUGAGUGCAAACAAUCAUUCAGCUGGUGAAGCUCUGAAGAUGUUGAGGAGAGUAUAGCAGCACUGAAGGCAUUGGGUUUCUCCUGGGCUUCUCACUACUGAGAUACUGCCUAAAGAGUAAGUUGGGGCUGAGAAUGGAGUCAAAGGAGCAAGGGCACAGAGGCAAGAUGGGGAAAGUACAAAAGAGAAAUCCCGCCUGACAUGGGGAGGCUGUAUUUAAAGGGAGCUUGUAAACAGAUGAACAGCAACUGAUUGCACAACUUGAUAGUGAUAGGAUAAAGAGAAAGGUUUCCACUAAAGGCAGAGUGAUUAAGGUUAGUUAUCAGGAGGAUAUUAGUGAUUCAGAGGUUGUUGAGGCACUGGCACAGGCUGCCCAGAGAAGCAGUGCAUGCCUCAUCUCUGGAGGUGCUCAAGGAUGGGUUGGAUGGGGCCAUAGGAUUCUGUGGUUAACUGUAUUAUCUUUAAGUCCCUUCCAAAUCAAACCAUUCUCUUUUAUGACUCUGUGAUAGACUGGAGAUGGUCAGGAGGUUGGAAGAAGACAGAGCAAGGAGGUGAGCUGACCCAAAGAGACUCUGGAUGCAAAAUGAGGCCAUGAUCUGCAAGAAGAUGUGGAAAAAAGAGGGAGAAGGAGAAGUUUUCUCCCUUCAAGAAACAGGAAACGCAGACCAUGUUGAGGUGUCUGACGUCCCAAAUAAAAUCUGAGGCUCUACAGAAACAACAGAUGCAUCAUGGGCUGCAUCACAGUCUCUCGCUGUGGGUAACUCUCUGUCGGCUGCAGAAAUACCACAGGACAGGUGAUAAGGUCAGUGCGCAGACCUGUGACCAUCUGCAUCCUGCUCACAGCAAAGCAGGCGCCGUGAGCAGAGAUCUCCAAACGAUGUGGGGGCAGGCGGGAUGGGCCACGCCGUGUCCUCGCGUCCCUGCACUCCUGAUGCUGGUGGUCGGUGAGCUGGGGAUGGUGUGGGGAGCAGGAAACCCUGCCUAGAGCAGGAAAUCCACCAGGACGAGGCUUGGGAGGGUGCUGAGUGCAGUGGUAGAGUGGGUGCAGGAUGGAGACGUUUCAAAAAUACGUAAGUUAGGAAUGCUGUGUGCUUUAGAAAGAUAGGGAACUGUACUUGAAGCAGCACAUGCAUCACAAAUGGAUCUGAUCUUGCUCAGAAACACAGAAGAGGAACAGCACGAGGGCGUGCAGGUUGGAUGGUGCCUAUUCUGCAGUGGGGACAUGGGCAGGUAGAUGUGGGUGAGCAGGACAUUGUCCCUCCAAACAAAACCUUCUCUGUCCCAUGGUGCAGGUACUGGUGUGAGCACCCAGGACAUCUGCAGCUCCAGGGCUGGUGGUGAGUGUGAGAAUGGGUCCAGAAAAUGAAAACAUCGUGGGGGAGGAGAUGGGAAGAGAGAAAGUCAUCAUUCUUCCCCAUGAAUUCCCAAUAUCCAUCCCUCGAGAGCAGAUUGUCUGUGCCUUGGCAUAGAAUGUGUUUUUCAAAUAUUGACUCUGGUGAUUGAAUGCCUGUGCCAUUUCUUCAGGUACUCUCCAGGCCCCAGUCCUGUUCCUUAACACUUGCAGAGCUGAGGAAGGGGAAGUCGUUCUAUUUCAAUGUGCUCUUCAGAAGAUGGUUCCUGCUACCCGAUUUGUCUUCUGCAAGGAUGGGUUGGAGGUGCGCAGCAUGAAAGCCCAAGAGGACAUGGUCAUCUACUCCAUUCAGAUGAACAUCUCUGUGAGAAGCAGUGGGACAUAUGCAUGUUUGUACCAGCAGAGGAGUGGGAAAAGCUGGCUGAGUUCUGCCCUCAGUCCUCCAUGGGACCUGCAUGUCACAGGUGGGAAAUGACACCAGGGUGGUGGGGAUGCAGGGUACGGUUAGACAUAACACCACAUGGAUGUUCCAUGUGCAGCAAGAGAUGCUAUAGAGAGGUGAUGGCUCUGGAAGGUUUCCCUUCUCCAUCCCACGCUGCAGAAAUGGAGUUUUGCAGUGCACAGGCACAGGAAGCAAAGAUAGGGGAUGGUCAUGGAGCCUUUAAAGCCUGGGUAAGGAUGCUUCAAGGAUUACUGCAAUAUCUUUAUAAGCAUAAGGAAGGGAAAUUGGGGUGAUUUCCAGGAGUGAGAUUGUUCCUUACUGUGUGAGAUUCUACUCAGCAACAUGAUGAUUGUGUGGUCACAGUGUGGGGAUGGCCAGAUGUUGGUGUGCUUUGGGAUCUGGGUGCCCCCACCUGCAACAAAGCCACCAAAAAGAGCCUUGAGAUGACGGCAGGAUGGGAAACACAGGAUGCAGUCUUGUAAAUGUGAUGCUGCCAUACCAUCUAGGCAGAGCAAUGUACUAGCCCUUUAAUAUCCCCAAAUUCAAUGAAGGAAGAGGUUGUGCUGUAGUGUCAUACAAUGCACAGUAGCUCUGCCAUGCAUUUCUUAAUCCACCAUAGUUUAAAUAAUUGAUAUCCAGAAGAACCCACAUCAGUCCAGGUGUUCCAGGAUACAGAGCUGACACUGUGGGCACCUGCCCAUGUCUUCAUGCUCUGCCCCAUACCAAUGCACUCAGCAGCCGUGUUCAUGCAGAGGUGAGAGUUCAGGGGAUACUCAGCCCAUCCAUUUGUCCCAACAGGCAACUUGUCCAGCUCCACAGAGGGGACAGCAACUGCUGGUGAGGCUUUCACCUCUACUCUUGCUGCCCCCAUGCAUCCCAAUCUUCCCCUUCCCUCUUUCUCCAGUCCCAUCACUACAUGCUCAUCACACUCCCAUGUCCUCACCACUCCCCUCUGGCUGCACCACCCUCCAACAAUCCCAAAGCUCCUCUCUCUAGUCCCCAUCCCUCCACUCUGUUCCCAGAUCCCAAAAUCCUGCCGGACCCUACAGUCAUUACGGUGGCACUGGUGGCUCUCACCCUCCUCCUUUCUGCAGGCACAUACUGGACCAUCAAGAAAGGUGAAGUCUUGUGGGAAGUAGGGGGGAACCAUGGGGCCAUCACAUCUCUGAUGUGGGACGCUUCUUCUUGCAGGUGCCUGCAGGAGGAUAUG